UUUUUUUUUUUGUUUUGGGUAAUCACAUAGGAAAAUGAUUUGGGAAUGUAGUAUUCCCAUGUUUAGUUUGCACAAGAAUCUUAUAUUCUAGGAAAGCCAUAUGCUUUAAUCAUUGGUUCUUCUGUAUUUCUAUGUAUGUGUGCAUAUGAUUCCCAUCCUUAAAGUGGAAUUGUUACAUUCCCAUGGGAACAGGAAGAAACAAAAACAUAGAGAUAUUAUUACCUUCAAAUAUAUAUAUAUAUAUAUUUUUGUUAAAUUAUCAAAAGCCUAGUAGAUUUUUCUCCAAAAGCCAAAUUACAAAAGCCCAAUGGAUGCAAGCAAUUUCAAAAAAGGAUUUUCCAGUACUUCUCUUUUAUGAGAUAGAUAUUACUAAACCAUAGGAAAGAAAAAGAAGGGAAAGUUAUAUGUAAUAAAUAGAAAAUAAAUCCAUUUCAACCAUGGAAUAAAUUUAGACCUAGUCAUAUAAACAGCCAAAUAUAACCAAAUCAAAUAAAAUACAAUGUAUUUAUAUUAGGGUCUUACAGUACAUGUACUGUUGUAUCUUUCGGUGGGCUAGCUGAGCAUAAUGAUGGUGCAACAAUAAUGUCACAUUCUUGGAAUAUGAAUCCACUUCCUCAAGAAAGGGAAUUCAGAUGGGAAUAAUGAUGCAUUAUGGCACUCAAAUGCCACCUUUUGAUUCAUCUCAAUAUGAACGUUUAUAGUUUAUUCCAACACAUAUGUUCGAAUUUUUCAUGAUAGGUUCUUUAGGCAAGUGUCUUAAAGAGCCAGAAAUAAUGCUAAUCAUGUGUUAUGUGAUGUAUGCUGUCAUAAACAUGCUGAACUGAAUAGAAUUUUCUCAUCAUGCUCUUAGAAUGAAGUUUGGGUUCCUGAACAUAUAAAUGAUUCUCAAAACCCUUUUGUUCAUUGGCA
rnacentral:misc_RNA from 1 species